rnacentral:rRNA from 1 species
GGUACACGCUGUGACUAGCAUAUCAAUAAGCGGAGGAAAAGAAACUAACAAGGAUUCCCCUAGUAACGGCGAGUGAAGCGGGAAGAGCUCAAAUUUGAAAUCUUAAAGGGUUUCCCUUUACGAAUUGUAGUUUAAAGAAGUGUUUUCUGUUGAGGUUUUGGUAAAAGUUCUUUGGAAUAGGACAUCAUAGAGGGUGAGAAUCCCGUAUUUGACCUUUACUUUCAACUUUGUGAUACACUUUCAAAGAGUCGGAUUGUUUGGGAAUGCAGUCCAAAAUGGGUGGUAAAUUUCAUCUAAAGCUAAAUAUUGGCGAGAGACCGAUAGCGAACAAGUACCGUGAGGGAAAGAUGAAAAGAACUUUGAAAAGAGAGUUAAACAGUACGUGAAAUUGUCAAAAGGGAAGCGUUUGACACCAGUGUUGUUUUUCUGAAAAUCAAUUAAAGAACUGUUUAUGCUAAGUUGUUUAGACUUUAUCAGCUAACUGUUUAGUUUUGAGCUUUUCUUUAAUGCACUUUUCAGUUAACAAGUCAACAUCAAUUUCUUUUGCUGUAAAAAAGCUUGAGGAAGGUGGCUUGAGAUUCGUCUUAAGUGUUUAUAGCCUCUUGCCUAUGCAGUCGGAGAGAUUGAGGUCUGCAGCGUAGAUCCUUCGGGGCUAAAUGCAUUUGUGCUAAGUUAUAGCAUUUUAUAGACAACUUGUUGACUAUGAUUUGUCUUGUAGCUUACUCGCUUAUGUUAUUUUACCUACGCUUAGGAUGUUGACAGCAGUAUAGACUGU